rnacentral:rRNA from 1 species
GAUGAACGCUGGCGGCGUGCCUAAUACAUGCAAGUCGAGCGAGCAGACGAGGAGCUUGCUCCUCUGACGUUAGCGGCGGACGGGUGAGUAACACGUGGAUAACCUACCUAUAAGACUGGGAUAACUUCGGGAAACCGGAGCUAAUACCGGAUAAUAUAUUGAACCGCAUGGUUCAAUAGUGAAAGACGGUCUUGCUGUCACUUAUAGAUGGAUCCGCGCCGCAUUAGCUAGUUGGUAAGGUAACGGCUUACCAAGGCAACGAUGCGUAGCCGACCUGAGAGGGUGAUCGGCCACACUGGAACUGAGACCCGGUCCAGAGUCCUACGGGAGGCAGCAGUAGGGAAUCUUCCGCAAUGGGCGAAAGCCUGACGGAGCAACGCCGCGCGAGUGAUGAAGGUCCUCGGAUCGUAAAACUCUGUUAUUAGGGAAGAACAAAUGUGUAAGUAACUAUGCACGUCUUGACGGUACCUAAUCAGAAAGCCACGGCUAACUACGUG